rnacentral:rRNA from 1 species
AGACCCGAAACCCGGUGAUCUAGCCAUGGGCAGGUUGAAGGUUGGGUAACACUAACUGGAGGACCGAACCGACUAAUGUUGAAAAAUUAGCGGAUGACCUGUGGCUGGGGGUGAAAGGCCAAUCAAACCGGGAGAUAGCUGGUUCUCCCCGAAAGCUAUUUAGGUAGCGCCUCGUGAAUUCAUCUCCGGGGGUAGAGCACUGUUUCGGCUAGGGGGCCAUCCCGGCUUACCAACCCGAUGCAAACUGCGAAUACCGGAGAAUGUUAUCACGGGAGACACACGGCGGGUGCUAACGUCCGUCGUGAAGAGGGAAACAACCCAGACCGCCAGCUAAGGUCCCAAAGUCAUGGUUAAGUGGGAAACGAUGUGGGAAGGCCCAGACAGCCAGGAUGUUGGCUUAGAAGCAGCCAUCAUUUAAAGAAAGCGUAAUAGCUCACUGGUCGAGUCGGCCUGCGCGGAAGAUGUAACGGGGCUAAACCAUGCACCGAAGCUGCGGCAGCGACACUCAGGUGUUGUUGGGUAGGGGAGCGUUCUGUAAGCCUGUGAAGGUGUGUCGUGAGGCAUGCUGGAGGUAUCAGAAGUGCGAAUGCUGACAUAAGUAACGAUAAAGCGGGUGAAAAGCCCGCUCGCCGGAAGACCAAGGGUUCCUGUCCAACGUUAAUCGGGGCAGGGUGAGUCGACCCCUAAGGCGAGGCCGAAAGGCGUAGUCGAUGGGAAACGGGUUAAUAUUCCCGUACUUGGUGUUACUGCGAAGGGGGGACGGAGAAGGCUAUGUUGGCCGGGCGACGGUUGUCCCGGUUUAAGCGUGUAGGUGUGUGUUCCAGGUAAAUCCGGUUCACUUUAACACUGAGGCGUGAUGACGAGGCACUACGGUGCUGAAGCAACAAAUGCCCUGCUUCCAGGAAAAGCCUCUAAGCAUCAGGUAACAUCAAAUCGUACCCCAAACCGACACAGGUGGUCAGGUAGAGAAUACCAAGGCGCUUGAGAGAACUCGGGUGAAGGAACUAGGCAAAAUGGUGCCGUAACUUCGGGAGAAGGCACGCUGACACGUAGGUGAAGUGAUUUACUCAUGGAGCUGAAGUCAGUCGAAGAUACCAGCUGGCUGCAACUGUUUAUUAAAAACACAGCACUGUGCAAACACGAAAGUGGACGUAUACGGUGUGACGCCUGCCCGGUGCCGGAAGGUUAAUUGAUGGGGUCAGCGCAAGCGAAGCUCCUGAUCGAAGCCCCGGUAAACGGCGGCCGUAACUAUAACGGUCCUAAGGUAGCGAAAUUCCUUGUCGGGUAAGUUCCGACCUGCACGAAUGGCGUAAUGAUGGCCAGGCUGUCUCCACCCGAGACUCAGUGAAAUUGAACUCGCUGUGAAGAUGCAGUGUACCCGCGGCAAGACGGAAAGACCCCGUGAACCUUUACUAUAGCUUGACACUGAACAUUGAGCCUUGAUGUGUAGGAUAGGUGGGAGGCUUUGAAGUGUGGACGCCAGUCUGCGUGGAGCCGACCUUGAAAUACCACCCUUUAAUGUUUGAUGUUCUAACGUGGACCCGUGAUCCGGGUUGCGGACAGUGUCUGGUGGGUAGUUUGACUGGGGCGGUCUCCUCCUAAAGAGUAACGGAGGAGCACGAAGGUUGGCUAAUCCUGGUCGGACAUCAGGAGGUUAGUGCAAUGGCAUAAGCCAGCUUGACUGCGAGCGUGACGGCGCGAGCAGGUGCGAAAGCAGGUCAUAGUGAUCCGGUGGUUCUGAAUGGAAGGGCCAUCGCUCAACGGAUAAAAGGUACUCCGGGGAUAACAGGCUGAUACCGCCCAAGAGUUCAUAUCGACGGCGGUGUUUGGCACCUCGAUGUCGGCUCAUCACAUCCUGGGGCUGAAGUAGGUCCCAAGGGUAUGGCUGUUCGCCAUUUAAAGUGGUACGCGAGCUGGGUUUAGAACGUCGUGAGACAGUUCGGUCCCUAUCUGCCGUGGGCGCUGGAGAACUGAGGGGGGCUGCUCCUAGUACGAGAGGACCGGAGUGGACGCAUCACUGGUGUUCGGGUUGUCAUGCCAAUGGCACUGCCCGGUAGCUAAAUGCGGAAGAGAUAAGUGCUGAAAGCAUCUAAGCACGAAACUUGCCCCGA